UAAACAUUUUUUUCUUCGUUUUUUAUUAAGGAACAAAUUUUAUUUGAAAAAUUUUUUAUCUUAUUUAGUAUAUGAGCCACAGCCAUAUAAACAAUUUAUAAACAAUUAAAUUGUUUAUAACAAUGUUUUGACCACUCGGAUCAAAAUCCACCCUCGAAAUUCGUAUUCAGCAGUAAAAAAUCCAUAAGAAACCGUUGAGUUUGUCCAUUAGAAUUGAAAAGGAUACGGCGCCUAGACUACUAGCCACAAUCUCUACAUUUAUCCAUAUACGUAAAUAUUGUUCCCUAUUUUAUAUUAUUUUUAACAUGGACUUGGCGUUUCUUUAAAACUUGGCGUAUUUCUUCUAAACUUUUGUUACUUUUUAUUCUUAACCUAUACCUAGUUAAAAUUAUACUUCUUUAGGCACGAGGGUGAAUUUUUAUUUUCUGGGCGCAUGCGCACAGCAACAGUAUGGUAUUAGUCGCUACAUAUUUUAAGUUACGUAGCGCAAAAAAUAAGGUGUGCGUAAAAAGAGUGCCUUAUUAGUGUUUUUAGUAAAUAUAUUUAUUAUAAUUUUUGUGUCUGUGGAUUUGUCUUCCUCGUAAUAAGUAUUAUUGAAAAUGUUUAUUUUCAAUUAAUCUAUCUGUCACCAUGAUUGUAAUUAUGUCAGAGAUGAUCGUCUGUAUACAGAACGGUGGUAGCUCAUCGGUAGAGCAUUCGCCUACGGAUCGAGAGCUCCCCCGUUCAAAUCCGGAGUCAUAUUCUUUUUUUAUUUUUGGUAUUCUUUUAGUUCUUUCUGAAAUUAGUUUAAUAUUUAAAUACAAUUCAAAAAUUUUUUAAAGUAGAUAUAUUGAUUUCGUUGAAAUCAUAAUAUGAAGUAGAUUAUAUUAUAACAGAAGUAUAACUUAUUACGUGCGUACAAAGUAAACACACAUUCUUUUUUCCGCAUACAUUUUUUGUAACAGUAAAAUGUGUACAGUUGGUUUAUAUUUUAGGUUGUUCAUUUCAAAAAGAAAAUUUGGAUGGAUACGUUGAAAAGAAAACAUUAAAUAAAAAUACGAAAGUUGAAACUGGAAAAUCACAUUUGAUGACUCACACUGGAAAAAAGCCUUAUAAGUGUAAAAUCUGUUUUAAGCUAUUUACUGCAGCAUAUUCUUUGAAGCUACAUUUGAUGACUCACACUGGAGUAAAGCCUUAUACGUGUGAAAUUUGUUCUAAGCAAUUUACUCAAGCCGGUCAUUUGAAAACACAUUUGAUGGCACAUACUGGAGUAAAGCCUUAUACGUGUGAAAUUUGUUCUAAGCAAUUUAGUCAGGAUGGAAAUUUGAAAAGACAUUUUAUGACUCACACUGGAAAAAAGCCUUACGAGUGUGAAAUUUGUUUAAAACGCUGUAUUACUGAAAGUGAUUUGACAAGACAUUUGAGAGUGCACACGGGUGAAAAACCUCACAAAUGUGAGAUUUGUUUUAGGCAAUUUAGUCUAGCAUAUUCUUUGAAAAUACAUUUGAGAACACACACAGGAGAAAAUAAUUACAAGUGUGAAUUUUGUUUAAAACAAUUUUCUCAGCGAUGUAAUCUAAAACUGCAUUUGACAAUACAUACUGAAGAAAAACCUCACAAAUGUGAAAUUUGUUUUAAGCAGUUUUCUCAAGCCGGUAAUUUGAAAGCACAUUUAAUGAUCCACUCUGGAGUAAAACCGUAUGAGUGUGAUAUUUGUUUUAAACAGUUUACUCAACCCAGUAGUUUGAAAACACAUUUGAUGACUCACACUGGAGUUAAGCCUAACAAGUGUGGAAUUUGUUCUAAGCAAUUUAGGCAGGAUGGAAAUUUGAAGAGACAUUUGAUGACUCACACUGGAAAAAAGCCUUGAGUGUGAUAUUUGUUUUAAGCAAUUUACUGCACUAUGUUCUUUGAAACUACAUUUGAUGACUCACACUGGAGUAAACCAUUACAAGUGUGAAAUUUGUUUUAAGCAAUUUAAUCAAGCCGGUCAUCUGAAAAGACAUUUGACGAUUCACACUGAAGAAAAGCCUUACAAGUUGUUCAUUUCAAAAAGAAGAUUUGGAUGGAUACGUUGAAGAGAAAACAUUAAA
rnacentral:misc_RNA from 1 species